AUUGAACGCUGGCGGCAGGCUUAACACAUGCAAGUCGAGCGGAGCGGCGGACGGGUGAGUAAUGCUCAGGAAUCUGCCUAUUAGCGGGGGACAACAUCUCGAAAGGGAUGCUAAUACCGCAUACUAUCAGAUGACCCUAGGUCGGAUUAGCUAGUUGGUGGGGUAAAGGCCUACCAAGGCUACGAUCGGUAACUGGUCUGAGAGGGUGAUCAGUCACACUGGAACUAGGACACGGUCCAGACUCCUACGGGAGGCAGCGGGGGGGAAUAGUGGACAAUGGACGAAGGCCUGAUCCAGCCAUGCCGCGUGUGUGAAGAGGGUCUUCGGAUUGUAAAGCACUUUAAGUUGGGAGACGUUACCAACAGAGUAAGCACCGGCUAACUUCGUGCCAGCAGCCGCGGUAAUAC
rnacentral:rRNA from 1 species